GAUGAACGCUGGCGGCGUGCCUAAUACAUGCAAGUCGAGCGAACAGACGAGGAGCUUUCUCCCCUGACGUUAGCGGCGGACGGGUGAGUAACACGUGGAUAACCUACCUAUAAGACUGGGAUAACUUCGGGAAACCGGAGCUAAUACCGGAUAAUAUAUCGAACCGCAUGGUUCAAUAGUGAAAGACGGUUUUGCUGUCACUUAUAGAUGGAUCCGCGCCGCAUUAGCUAGUUGGUAAGGUAACGGCUUACCAACGCAACGAUGCGUAGCCGACCUGAGAGGGUGAUCGGCCACACUGGAACUGAGACACGGUACAGACUCCUACGGGAGGCAGCAGUAGGGAAUCUUCCGCAAUGGGCGAAAGCCUGACGGAGCAACGCCGCGUGAGUGAUGAAGGUCUUCGGAUCGUAAAGCUCUGUUGUUAGGGAAGAACAAAUGUGUAAGUAACUAUGCACGUCUUGACGGUACCUAAUCAAAAAGCCACGGCUAACUACGUG
rnacentral:rRNA from 1 species